rnacentral:rRNA from 1 species
UACGGGGGGUGCGAGCGUUGUCCGGAAUCACUGGGCGUAAAGGGCGCGUAGGCGGCCUGAUAAGUAGGGGGUGAAAUCUUGCGGCUUAACCGCAAGGCUGCCUUCUAAACUGUCAGGCUAGAGCACAGUAGAGGCAGGUGGAAUUCCCGGUGUAGCGGUGGAAUGCGUAGAGAUCGGGAAGAACAUCAGUGGCGAAGGCGGCCUGCUGGGCUGUUGCUGACGCUGAGGAGCGAAAGCGUGGGGAGCGAACAGG